rnacentral:rRNA from 1 species
GACAGAGGGGGCAAGCGUUGCUCGGAAUUACUGGGCGUAAAGGGCGCGUAGGCGGAAUGGCAAGUCGGUCGUGAAAUCCUUCGGCUCAACCGAAGAACGUCGAUCGAAACUGCCGUUCUUGAGGAUUGCAGAGGAGACUGGAAUUCCCGGUGUAGCGGUGAAAUGCGUAGAUAUCGAGAGGAACACCUGCGGCGAAGGCGGGUUGCUGGGCUGACACUGACGCUGAUGCGCGAAAGCUAGGGGAGCGAACGGG